GCAGUGGUGGUUCGGGGGUAGAAUUCUCAGCUUCCAUGUGGAAGACCCAGGUUCGAUUCCCAGCCAAUGCA
rnacentral:tRNA from 1 species